GAGUUUGAUUCCUGGCUCAGAUUUGAACGCUGGCGGCAUGCUUUACACAUGCAAGUCGGACGGCAGCACAGAGAAGCUUGCUUCUUGGGUGGCGAGUGGCGAACGGGUGAGUAACAUAUCGGAACGUACCGAGCAGUGGGGGAUAACUAAUCGAAAGAUUAGCUAAUACCGCAUAUUUUCUGAGGAAGAAAGCAGGGGACCAUUUGGCCUUGCGCUGUUUGAGCGGCCGAUAUCUGAUUAGCUAGUUGGUGGGGUAAAGGCCUACCAAGGCGACGAUCAGUAGCGGGUCUGAGAGGAUGAUCCGCCACACUGGGACUGAGACACGGCCCAGACUCCUACGGGAGGCAGCAGUGGGGAAUUUUGGACAAUGGGCGCAAGCCUGAUCCAGCCAUGCCGCGUGUCUGAAGAAGGCCUUCGGGUUGUAAAGGACUUUUGUCAGGGAAGAAAAGGGCGGGGUUAAUACCCCUGUCUGAUGACGGUACCUGAAGAAUAAGCACCGGCUAACUACGUGCCAGCAGCCGCGGUAAUACGUAGGGUGCGAGCGUUAAUCGGAAUUACUGGGCGUAAAGCGGGCGCAGACGGUUACUUAAGCAGGAUGUGAAAUCCCCGGGCUCAACCUGGGAACUGCGUUCUGAACUGGGUGACUAGAGUGUGUCAGAGGGAGGUAGAAUUCCACGUGUAGCAGUGAAAUGCGUAGAGAUGUGGAGGAAUACCGAUGGCGAAGGCAGCCUCCUGGGAUAACACUGACGUUCAUGCCCGAAAGCGUGGGUAGCAAACAGGAUUAGAUACCCUGGUAGUCCACGCCCUAAACGAUGUCGAUUAGCUGUUGGGCAGCAUGACUGCUUAGUAGCGAAGCUAACGCGUGAAAUCGACCGCCUGGGGAGUACGGUCGNCAGAUUAAACUCAAGGGAAUUGACGGGGACCCGCACAGCGGUGGAUGAUGUGGAUUAUUCGAUGCACGGCGAGAACUUUACUGGGUCUGACUGUACGGAACCUCCAAAAACGGAGGGGUGCCUUUCGGAGCGGUACCAGGUGCUGCAUGG
rnacentral:rRNA from 1 species